CCGGAUAGCUCAGUCGGUAGAGCAGAGGAUUGAAAAUCCUCGUGUCGGUGGUUCGAUUCC
rnacentral:tRNA from 1 species